GGGCCUUUAACUUAGUUGGUAGAGGUUUGUGUUUACAACACGAAAGGUAGAAGUUCAAGUCUUUUAGGGCUCA
rnacentral:tRNA from 1 species